rnacentral:rRNA from 1 species
ACGGUGAAGCCCUUCGGGGUGGAUCAGUGGCGAACGGGUGAGUAACACGUGGGCAAUCUGCCCCAGAUUCUGGGACAACACCGGGAAACCGGUGCUAAUACCGGAUACGACGCAUCUCCGCAUGGGGUGUGCGUGGAAAGCUCCGGCGAUCUGGGAUGAGCCCGCGGCCUAUCAGCUUGUUGGUGGGGUAAUGGCCUACCAAGGCGACGACGGGUAGCCGGCCUGAGAGGGCGACCGGCCACACUGGGACUGAGACACGGCCCAGACUCCUACGGGAGGCAGCAGUGGGGAAUAUUGCACAAUGGGCGAAAGCCUGAUGCAGCGACGCCGCGUGAGGGAUGACGGCCUUCGGGUUGUAAACCUCUUUCAGCAGGGAAGAAGCGCAAGUGACGGUACCUGCAGAAGAAGCACCGGCUAACUACGUGCCAGCAGCCGCGGUAAUACGUAGGGUGCGAGCGUUGUCCGGAAUUAUUGGGCGUAAAGAGCUCGUAGGCGGCUUGUCACGUCGGAUGUGAAAGCCCGGGGCUUAACUCCGGGUCUGCAUUCGAUACGGGCAGGCUAGAGUGUGGUAGGGGAGAUCGGAAUUCCUGGUGUAGCGGUGAAAUGCGCAGAUAUCAGGAGGAACACCGGUGGCGAAGGCGGAUCUCUGGGCCAUUACUGACGCUGAGGAGCGAAAGCGUG